UCACCAUGUGGAUAAAACUUCACACUGACU
rnacentral:sRNA from 1 species